UGCCAGCCGCCGCGGUAAUACGGAGGGGGUUAGCGUUGUUCGGAAUUACUGGGCGUAAAGCGCGCGUAGGCGGAUUGGAAAGUUGGAGGUGAAAGCCCCGAGCUCAACUUGGAACUGCCUUUGAUACUGUUUAUCUAGAGUCCGAGAGAGGUUAGUGGAAUUCCCAGUGUAGAGGUGAAAUUCGUAGAUAUUGGGAAGAACACCAGUGGCGAAGGCGGCUAACUGGCUCGGUACUGACGCUGAGAUGCGAAAGCGUGGGGAGCAAACAGGAUUAGAUA
rnacentral:rRNA from 1 species